UUAGAGUUUGAUCAUGGCUCAGGAUGAACGCUGGCGGCGUGCUUAACACAUUCAAGUCGAACGNACCUUCGUGGUUAGUGGCGGACGGGUGAGUAACGCGUGGGAAUCUGCCCUCAGGAGGGGGAUAACGGCCGGAACACGGCCGCUAAUACCCCAUAUGCCGAGAGGUGAAAUGAAUUUCGCYUGAGGAUGAGCCCGCGUCUGAUUAGCUAGUUGGUGGGGUAAUGGCCCACCAAGGCGACGAUCAGUAGCUGGUCUGAGAGGAUGAUCAGCCACACUGGGACUGAGACACGGCCCAGACUCCUAGCGGGAGGCAGCAGUGGGGAAUUUUCCGCAAUGGGCGAAAGCCUGACGGAGCAACGCCGCGUGAGGGAUGAAGGCCUCUGGGCUGUAAACCUCUUUUCUCAAGGAAGAAGACAUGACGGUACUUGAGGAAUAAGCCACGGCUAAUUCCGUGCCAGCAGCCGCGGUAAUACGGGAGUGGCAAGCGUUAUCCGGAAUUAUUGGGCGUAAAGCGUCCGCAGGCGGCCUUGUAAGUCUGUCGUUAAAGCGUGGAGCUUAACUCCAUUUAAGCGAUGGAAACUACAAGGCUUGAGUGUGGUAGGGGCAGAGGGAAUUCCCGGUGUAGCGGUGAAAUGCGUAGAUAUCGGGAAGAACACCAGUGGCGAAGGCGCUCUGCUGGGCCAUAACUGACGCUCAUGGACGAAAGCCAGGGGAGCGAAAGGGAUUAGAUACCCCUGUAGUCCUGGCCGUAAACGAUGAACACUAGGUGUCGGGGGAAUCGACCCCCUCGGUGUCGUAGCUAACGCGUUAAGUGUUCCGCCUGGGGAGUACGCACGCAAGUGUGAAACUCAAAGGAAUUGACGGGGGCCCGCACAAGCGGUGGAGUAUGUGGUUUAAUUCGAUGCAACGCGAAGAACCUUACCAGGGUUUGACAUCCUGCGAAUCCCUUGGAAACGAGGGAGUGCCUUCGGGAGCGCAGAGACAGGUGGUGCAUGGCUGUCGUCAGCUCGUGUCGUGAGAUGUUGGGUUAAGUCCCGCAACGAGCGCAACCCACGUCUUUAGUUGCCAGCAUUCAGUUGGGCACUCUAGAGAGACCGCCGGUGAUAAACCGGAGGAAGGUGUGGAUGACGUCAAGUCAUCAUGCCCCUUACAUCCUGGGCUACACACGUACUACAAUGCUACGGACAAAGGGUUGCAAGCUCGCGAGAGUUAGCUAAUCCCAUAAACCGUGGCUCAGUUCAGAUCGUAGGCUGCAACUCGCCUACGUGAAGGAGGAAUCGCUAGUAAUCGCAGGUCAGCAUACUGCGGUGAAUACGUUCCCGGGCCUUGUACACACCGCCCGUCACACCAUGGAAGUUGGCCAUGCCCGAAGUCGUUACUCCAACCCUUGUGGAGGAGGACGCCGAAGGUGGGGCUGAUGACUGGGGUGAAGUCGUAACAAGGUAGCCGUACCGGAAGGUGCGGCUGGAUCACCUCCUAACAGGGAGACACAACUGAUCGUGAUGUCUGAGCGCCGACCAAGCGUAAGUUUGGGGAGCACAUUUGUCUCAGGCCACGGUCCUGUCAUCUCGAAGGUCGAUCGGUACCUCAAGGUGAGCCAUCAAAGCCAAGGACGACUCCAGAGAGCUCGCAAGAGCAGGAAGGAGAAAGCCAAGGAUGUUGUGGUGGACUCGUUUUCAGUUCCUAAACUUUGUCUAGGUCACCCCACCAAGGGGUUUUGCCAGACAGCCAACGUUUCUGAUCCCGCCAGGGAGAUGAAGCAAAGGGUGUGUGGAGGAACCACUGUCAGAGUGAUUGUUCCUGGGCCAUUAGCUCANGUGGUUAGAGCGCACCCCUGAUAAGGGUGAGGGUCCCUGGUUCAAGUCCAGGAUGGCCCAUUCGUGUUUGGGGGUUUAGCUCGUGGUUAGAGCGCACCCCUGAUAAGGGUCAGUUGGUAGAGCGCCUGCUUUGCAAGCAGGAUGUCAGCGGUUCGAGUCCGCUAACCUCCAUCCAGCUAGGU
rnacentral:rRNA from 1 species